rnacentral:rRNA from 1 species
GAUGAACGCUCGCGGGAGGCCUAACACAUGCAAGCCGAGCGGUAUUUGUUCUUCGGAACAGAGAGAGCGGCGCACGGGUGCGGAACACGUGUGCAACCUGCCUUUAUCUGGGGGAUAGCCUUUCGAAAGGAAGAUUAAUACCCCAUAAUAUAUUGAGUGGCAUCACUUGAUAUUGAAAACUCUGGUGGAUAGAGAUGGGCACGCGCAAGAUUAGAUAGUUGGUGAGGUAACGGCUCACCAAGUCAAUGAUCUUUAGGGGGCCUGAGAGGGUGAUCCCCCACACUGGUACUGAGACACGGACCAGACUCCUACGGGAGGCAGCAGUGAGGAAUAUUGGACAAUGGGUUAGCGCCUGAUCCAGCCAUCCCGCGUGAAGGACGACGGCCCUAUGGGUUGUAAACUUCUUUUGUAUAGGGAUAAACCUACUCUCGUGAGAGUAGCUGAAGGUACUAUACGAAUAAGCACCGGCUAACUCCGUG